rnacentral:rRNA from 1 species
GACGAACGCUGGCGGCGUGCUUAACACAUGCAAGUCGAACGAAGCACUUAUCUUUGAUUCUUCGGAUGAAGAGGUUUGUGACUGAGUGGCGGACGGGUGAGUAACGCGUGGGUAACCUGCCUCAUACAGGGGGAUAACAGUUAGAAAUGACUGCUAAUACCGCAUAAGACCACGGAGCCGCAUGGCUCAGUGGGAAAAACUCCGGUGGUAUGAGAUGGACCCGCGUCUGAUUAGGUAGUUGGUGGGGUAACGGCCUACCAAGCCAACGAUCAGUAGCCGACCUGAGAGGGUGACCGGCCACAUUGGGACUGAGACACGGCCCAAACUCCUACGGGAGGCAGCAGUGGGGAAUAUUGCACAAUGGGGGAAACCCUGAUGCAGCGACGCCGCGUGAGCGAAGAAGUAUUUCGGUAUGUAAAGCUCUAUCAGCAGGGAAGAAAAUGACGGUACCUGACUAAGAAGCACCGGCUAAAUACGUG